GCGGUAAUACGUAGGGGGCUAGCGUUGUCCGGAAUCACUGGGCGUAAAGGGUUCGCAGGCGGAAAUGCAAGUCAGAUGUAAAAGGCAGUAGCUUAACUACUGUAAGCAUUUGAAACUGCAUAUCUUGAGAAGAGUAGAGGUAAGUGGAAUUUUUAGUGUAGCGGUGAAAUGUCGUAGAUAUUAAAAACGAAUACCGGUGGCGAAGGCGACUUACUGGGCUCAUUCUGACGCUGAGGAACGAAAGCGUGGGUAGCAAACAGGAU
rnacentral:rRNA from 1 species